GGCUAUGCCUGCCUGUGCCGUUGUGGGCUGCGGAAAUCGUAGCGGUGGAGGCAUCUCCCUUCACAGACUCCCCGCAGAGGCAAAACGACGCGCCGCUUGGGUGAGAGCACUGAGGAGGGUUACUCUGCCCGAUACCUGCGCGGUCUGCUCUGCUCAUUUUGUACAUCCAGACGACUUUAUUGCGGACGUGCCCUCGGCUAAUACUCCGCCAACGCUACAUCUGAAGCCAACCGCUGUCCCGUCCCUGAGACUUUGGCCACACCAUCCGCCUCCGCCGAAGCGACGGAAGUCUACUUACCAACAAAAAAGGGAACCAAAUAAGAUAUCACCUCAAGCAGACACGGGACCGUCAAUUCCGCAACAUCAAGUUCAGCCUCCUGUAGCCUCUGCAACUGCCACAGCCACGGAAUACCCAACUUCUGAGUUGGAUGGCCAUGAUAGCAUUACCAAGACGGCAUAUGCAGUGGACAGUGGCAAGACAUUUGCCGCGAGUCCUGCACAUGCAGAGCCAAGCUCAACACAACAAGUGCAUGCUACUGCAGUGACAGCGACUCAUGGUCCGGCUCCAGAGUUGGCUGAUUAUGAUGAUGCUGCAAAGAUGGUGUGCGAA